rnacentral:rRNA from 1 species
AUUGAACGCUGGCGGCAUGCCUUACACAUGCAAGUCGAACGGCAGCACGGGUGCUUGCACCUGGUGGCGAGUGGCGAACGGGUGAGUAAUACAUCGGAACAUGUCCUGUAGUGGGGGAUAGCCCGGCGAAAGCCGGAUUAAUACCGCAUACGAUCUACGGAUGAAAGCGGGGGACCUUCGGGCCUCGCGCUAUAGGGUUGGCCGAUGGCUGAUUAGCUAGUUGGUGGGGUAAAGGCCUACCAAGGCGACGAUCAGUAGCUGGUCUGAGGGGACGACCAGCCACACUGGGACUGAGACACGGCCCAGACUCCUACGGGAGGCAGCAGUGGGGAAUUUUGGACAAUGGGCGAAAGCCUGAUCCAGCAAUGCCGCGUGUGUGAAGAAGGCCUUCGGGUUGUAAAGCACUUUUGUCCGGAAAGAAAUCCUUGGCCCUAAUACGGUCGGGGGAUGACGGUACCGGAAGAAUAAGCACCGGCUAACUACGUG